rnacentral:rRNA from 1 species
UACGAAGGGGGCUAGCGUUGUUCGGAAUCACUGGGCGUAAAGGGCGCGUAGGCGGCUUUAUAAGUCAGGGGUGAAAGCCUGUGGCUCAACCACAGAAUUGCCUUCGAUACUGUAGAGCUUGAGACCGGAAGAGGUAAGUGGAACUGCGAGUGUAGAGGUGAAAUUCGUAGAUAUUCGCAAGAACACCAGUGGCGAAGGCGGCUUACUGGUCCGGUUCUGACGCUGAGGCGCGAAAGCGUGGGGAGCAAACAGG